GACGAACGCUGGCGGCGUGCUUAACACAUGCAAGUCGAACGGAAAGGCCCCUUUGGGGGUACUCGAGUGGCGAACGGGUGAGUAACACGUGAGUAACCUGCCCUUGACUUCGGGAUAACUUCAGGAAACUGGGGCUAAUACCGGAUAGGAAUCCUUGCUGCAUGGUGGGGGUUGGAAAGCUUCGGCGGUUCUGGAUGGACUGGCGGCUUAUCAGCUUGUUGGUGGGGUAGUGGCUUACCAAGGCUUUGACGGGUAGCCGGCCUGAGAGGGCGACCGGCCACAUUGGGACUGAGAUACGGCCCAGACUCCUACGGGAGGCAGCAGUGGGGAAUAUUGCACAAUGGGCGGAAGCCUGAUGCAGCAACGCCGCGUGCGGGAUGACGGCCUUCGGGUUGUAAACCGCUUUCAGCAGGAGCGAAGCUUGUGGUGACGGUACCUGCAGAAGAAGCACCGGCUAACUACGUG
rnacentral:rRNA from 1 species